rnacentral:tRNA from 1 species
GGCUAAUUAGUCCAGAGGACAUUUGUUUUGAAGACAAAAGGAAAGCUGUUAAAGCUAUUAGCCU